UUCCCUCAGAAUUAAGAUUGCAAGGGGA
rnacentral:piRNA from 1 species